rnacentral:snRNA from 1 species
GGAUGUGAGGGUGAUCUGGCUGUGACAUCUGUCACCCCAUUGAUUGCCAGGAUUGAUUCAGCUGAUCUGGCUGGCUUGGCGGGUGUCUCCUUCCUCCCUCACCGAUUCAUGUGCAUCCCUCCCGAAGCUGCAUGCUUAAAUAAAUAUAUCUCAGUGGAAGAGGAUGAUGUCCCAGGUAUAGAAGGAGUGUACUGAGGUCUCCAGUCUCCAGUCCCAAGUAUACGAUAGCUACUCUCCCCUGCUAGAACCUCCAAAUAAGCCUGAGAAUACUAAAAACUUCCCUGACAUGAUACUGAAACCUACCACCUGAGGCAGGUGCCUUACUUU